rnacentral:lncRNA from 1 species
UUCCUUGCAGGUCUUCUACUAUAUUUAGAGGUGGAUGCAAAUUUCUGCACAAUCUUCGGCUUUCUUGAUGUUGCACUGAUUAUGUAAUCUGCGUAUGGGUUGAUAAUGAGGUAGCUUCCAUGGUGAAUUUUUUUAAAUACUAGAACAAUAUUGAAUUAUUUUUGUAGAUUCUUAAGUAGAACUUCUUCUCUAUUGGAAUUUAAUUUAUCCAAGGAGGAUCAAUACCAUCUUGUUUUUGUUUCAGUUAUAAAGCUCGGGUUGUCUAAACCUGAAAAUUCAGUGAGGUGUAAAUGUACAGUUCACUAUUAUACUUCAACAUGAUCAGGUGUUGUUCUUUCCCCUCUCGCACUUAUGAGAUCAUUACUUUGUACCCCCUCUUAAAGAAAUAUAAGAGUGUUUAGAUCACUGUAAUUACUAUUCUUAUUCCAUCAUAUUCCGUAUCAAGCCGAUAUCUCUUGUACAAUAGUCGUUUUCACAAAUAAAUAUUUUAUGGUAUGUUUUUUUCCCAUCAAGCUGAUAUCCCAUUAUGAUAUGUUUUUGCUUUGCACAUGCAGGAUGCCUUUAAUCAAAAGGAUUGGUUUAGUCAACCCAUAAGAUUGAUUCAUUACCUUGGAGUUCCAGAGGGAUUUUGUGUAGCAUGUUCUUCAGGUACUACAUGUUUAUCUUGCUAAGAAUGAUUCAAGUAUGGGUUUUCUAGACUACUUGUUGUAUAUCAGUGAAUGAUAAAGUUAGUUUUGAAAAUUUAUCUCUCUUUUGGCUUAUUUGUAUAUUUGAAUGUUUGAAAAAAUAAAGUUAGUUCGUCAGAUCCUUCUUUGUGUGGGUUUUGUAGGUUACUUGAUGGUAGGAAAAUGUUUGUGACUCCAAAUUUAAUAGGUUAAGAGGAUAGUAUCUUAAUCAUUUAGACUUUUGCUGCCUACGUAACGGAAGCAUGAGUGUGUGGUUAUGAGAUUCAUGCUAAUAAAUCAUUAUCAGAGAUCUCUCAUUUGCUUAUCAACUGUUAUCUUUUUAUAUAUCUUAUAAUUGUCACACUACUUGGUUCCUUUCAUUCCAUCCUAAUUUUAGAGAUCUAUCACUUGCUUUCACAAUGUCACUGUCUUUUUAGACAUCUCUUAAUUUUUGGCCACUUCUUAGUUAAUUCCUUUCCAAGUUAAUAUAUGAGGUAGUUUUAUGGGCUGUAGAGUAUCUUGAUUCUACUAUUUCCCCCAGUUAACAGAAAUAAGAUAAAUUGUACAAUUUUUUGACUGAACUAUGAGUUUUUGUGAUAGCUGUGGCCAGUUCUAUACAGUAUGAGCAAAGAGGAAAGAGUGUUCAUUUGAGUGUCGAUGAAGUGAAAGUUGUCAGUUUAAGUUGGUUCCGAGGAUUCAACCUGUUCUAUUCUACUACAGUAUGGGUUGUAGUGACAUAUGUGCAUAAUAUAUAGUACAUAUUCUUCUUGAUUUUUAUGUGGCCCAUGCUAAUAGGCCAUACAGUCUCUAGAGAUGGGAAACGAAUCAUUAAGCAUUUUAGAGAUUGUUGUCCCAUCUUGUAUAGAAAUAACAUAGAUUGCUUCCGCAGCUGAGCGACUACUUCGUCGGCCAAACACCCGGCUCCUGCUGCAAAGAUGUCCACUGUCCAAGACCCGUGCGUAUCAUUAUUCUCCCUGUCUGUGCCGCGCAACAGCAGUUUCCUGUAGCCCUGCCUCCAUCAGCUUCUCCCUCUUCCUUGCAAUCGAUGAGUUCAGCAUACAAGCUUCAGAUGG